rnacentral:rRNA from 1 species
GACGAACGUUGGCGGCGUGCUUAAUACAUGCAAGUCAACUGAAGCAGUGGUAGCAAUAUCGCUGUGGAGGUAGCGCACGGGUGAGUAACACGUAGGUAAUCUGCCUUCAGGUCUGGCAUAACUCCGGGAAACCGGGGCUAAUAGCAGAUGAUGCAGCGGCUCGACAUCGAGACAGUUGUUAAAGCUAUGGCGCCUGAAGAUGAGCCUGCGUCUGAUUAGCUAGUUGGCGGGGUAACGGCCCACCAAGGCAACGAUCAGUAGCUGGUCUGAGAGGAUGAUCAGCCACACUGGAACUGAGACACGGUCCAGACUCCUACGGGAGGCAGCAGUAAGGAAUAUUGCUCAAUGGGAGAAAUCCUGAAGCAGCAACGCCGCGUGAGGGACGAAGGGCUUUUGCUUGUAAACCUCUGUAGUGAGAGAAAAAAAUCCCAAUCUUUGGGACAUGAUGGUAUCUCAAAAGUAAGCCCCGGCUAACUACGUG